rnacentral:rRNA from 1 species
GAUGAACGCUGGCGGCGUGCCUAAUACAUGCAAGUCGAGCGAACGGACGAGAAGCUUGCUUCUCUGAUGUUAGCGGCGGACGGGUGAGUAACACGUGGAUAACCUACCUAUAAGACUGGGAUAACUUCGGGAAACCGGAGCUAAUACCGGAUGAUAUUUUGAACCGCAUGGUUCAAAAGUGAAAGACGGUCUUGCUGUCACUUAUAGAUGGAUCCGCGCUGCAUUAGCUAGUUGGUAAGGUAACGGCUUACCAAGGCAACGAUGCAUAGCCGACCUGAGAGGGUGAUCGGCCACACUGGAACUGUGACACGGUCCAGACUCCUACGGGAGGCACCAGUCGGGAAUCUUCCGCAUUGGGCGAAAGCCUGCCGGAGCAACGCCGCGUGAGUGAUGAAGGUCUUCGGAUCGUAAAACUCUGUUAUUAGGGAAGAACAUAUGUGUAAGUAACUGUGCACAUCGUGACGGUACCUAAUCAGAAAGCCACGGCUAACUACGUG